GGCCCGACAGCUUUUCUUGAGCUACGGGGACAGUGGUUUCCACUUCCAAACCUUCGUGACUCAACAGCUUCUUUUCACAGUAAAAAUCGACAAGUUUUAUCCCACUUUUCCCCUGUUCAGUGGUUCAAAUAAAGCUUUAAAAAUCUAUAUCUGAAAUGCUAAAAGUCAUGUUAAGCCACGAGAGGUCCUCAGGGAGCUGCAGAACUCACCAGAAUCACUGAGGUGCUGUAAGGCGUUACAGUGGUACCUGGGGUUACAUACGCUUCAGGUUACAGACUCCGCUAACCCAGAAAUAGUACCUCGGGUUAAGGACUUUGCUUCAGGAUGAGAACAGAAAUCGCAUGGCGGUAGCGCUGCAGCAACGGGAGGCCCCAUUAGCUAAAGUGGUGCUUCAGGUUAAGAACAGUUUCAGGUUAAGAACGGACCUCCGGAACGAAUUAAGUAUGUAACCAGAGGUACCACUGUAAAGACAAACCACGAGGUCUGUCUGGGGACCAGGGGCUUGUCCACAUUUGAGUAUUAUUUAGCCAUUAUUAUUAUUAUUAUUACUAUUAAAUUAAAUUUAUAUACCACUGUCAAGGCUGCCUCAAGUCUUAGCUCACAAAAGACCAACGCCUACGUCUUCUUGUAUACAAAGGUGUUUAUUGCAGUUCAUGGUUUGCUUGACAUCCUAGGCGCGCAGCCUUACGUCUCUUACGCUAGACCGCCGAAGUCCCCUCUGAGUCAGUCCCUCCUCUGCACCAAUUUAAGAGACUUGCGCUGCUCCACCUCUUUCUCUCCUUCCUUUUCCGCAGGGUCCUUCUGCCCCCUGGGGUUGCGCCCCUUCUGGAUUCCUCUGACGCUGAAUCCCCAGACUGCUCUUCCCCCCUCCUGCGGGCUUUGGGACCUGGCCCCUCCUCCGGGCUCCCUGCACUUCCGCGCGCCUCUACAUUUGAACUAGGCGCGCGCGCCAAACCUCUAACUUUCCUUCUGACAGUUACACUACUCCCUUCACUGCCCCCUCCCCUUCCGGGAGGGCGGCUUGCUCUGACCCCCCUCCUUUCUCUGCUGCUGGAGCUGCUUCCUCUGACACACUGGAAACUCCACCCCCUUCGCUGCACUUUGGUGGGGAGGCUGGUCCUGACGCCCAGCUGCCACUUUGGGAUCCUCCGCUGGCACCCUGCUCCUGACACUUCCCCCCUGGGGCUCCCUGGCCCUGACCACCGGCGCCCCUUCUGGGAAUCCUCUGAUUCGCUGGAAAGACUCAUGGAAUCCCUUGAGUCAUUGUCAUCCUCUUCCUCGCUGGCUUGGAAUUCCUCCCCCUCGCUCUCCAUCUCCUGCCUACCCUGUGCCUCUCUCUCUGAACCCCUGACAACCACCCUUCAUUCAAAGAUCAUAGAGCAUUUUGCAACACUUUAAAUUCAUGGCUAAAUUCACAGCCCCCAUUCAGAUUAGACAGGAGUAGUCCACAUCUGCAUGUAUUUGAAUUUGUAAAUAUUCUGGGAAGCAACUUCAGUCUUUCUUUGGGGUCCCUUCAGGCAGGUCCCAAACCAACUGAUGACAAGAAAGGAGAUUCUGGCUAAACAUCAGGAGUAACUUUCUGAAGGUAAGAUCUGUUCAACAGUGGAAUGGACUCCCUCGGAAGGUGGUGGUCGGCCCUCAUGCAUGUUCACUUCAUCAAAUCUGGCCCUCUUUGAAAACAGUUUGGGCACCCCUGGGCUAAGAUGACCCCCGGGGUUCCUUCCAGCUCUACAAUUCUAUGUUUCUAUGACCCAACUGGGAAGGAGCGAAAGGCUUAGGUGGGGCUGGUAGAGCAUGUGCUUUGUGUCCAAACCCCCCAAGUUCAGUUCCUGCUAUUUCCAAGACUUGGUCCGGAACCCUAGACCAAAUUCACAAUAUACUUCCAAAGCACCACGAUACCAUUUAAAACACUUUAAACAGUGGUUUAACAACAAAUCCCUCUUCAAAUGGAAAUAUGUUACUUGCAGCUUUGUGAGGGGAAUAGGGGUCUUCUAACAACUCACAGCACCCUUAACAGACUACAGCUCCCAGAAUUCUUUGGGGAAAGCCAUGUGUGUUUAAAGUAGUGUCAUAGUAUUUUAAAUAGAUGGUGUGAACGUGGCCCUAGACAGCUGCUACCAGUCAGGGUAGACAGUAGUGUGCAAGAUGUUCCUACUUAUUUUAACUUUUCAUUAGUAGAGCAAGUCUGCAGUGGCUGCCUAGAUUAAAAAUCCAAGCUUUUCAUUUCAGGGCAUUGAUGGUCUUCAUAGAAUCGUGAUGCUCCUACUAUCAGCUCUUCCAUUUCUUUGGGCUCCGUUUAGUUCUCAUGUAUACCUAUAUUUACCAGUUUAUGUUAUGCUUCUGAUAAAGUGGCUAGAAUCUCCACUACCAAGGUUUAUGCAACAUUACUCUGUUAAUUAAGGGGCCACAAGUCUAUCAAGGUGUGGGUAUCGUUUUUGCUGCAGCCAACUUACUGAAGUUCAUGUUUUAAAUUGACAUCUUUCAAAUGCUUCCACCCAGCAAAAAUAUGCAACUGUGCAUACCGGAAUAGCUAAGUGGAAGGCUAUCAAUGUUUUCUUUUUUCCUCCUGAUUUGCCACAUGUAGAUGGAGCAGGCAGAAAUGUUUCUGAGGAGGAGUGGUAAGGAAAGAAGCUGUCCGUCCAGUUCAUAACCUGCAACUUGAGUCCCACCCUUUCAGCAAUGUCUCUCUUCCAGACCUGUCCCAGAACUGAACACGUGUGUGUGAUACAAAAGAUGCAAGCCCAGUCUUGCCUUCUGUAGAAACUUGGAAGGGAUUUGACACUUGUUUCAGCAACAGUAAAUAUGAAAGCUAUGUCAAAAUACUAAAUCUCCCAUUUGUUGCCAGGUAUUUACUUCUGGCAAAGAGAAUCAAAGUAACACCUCAUUCCAUGUUAGGGCUUGCACAGAGGGUGUGAUCUGUAACAAAACCCUUUAUUUAAUAGGCUUAAGAUCACAAUGGAUGGUUGUGAUGAUGUUCUGGCACUACAGACACGGUGCUCUGCGUUUAGAGUCAACAGCAAGGAGCAUGCAACUGAGAUUCAAAUUGGAGAAAGUAUGCACCCAAGACCCCUCUUCCUUGGAUUCUAAUGCAGUAGAUUUUGGGUUUUUUCUAAAUAAUAAGAUACAAAGAUGCAACCAUUUGAACAGUUGGUGUGAGAGAAUCCAGAUGAUAUUCCACCUGCUGGUGUGUGUUGUCUCAGGAGACAAUGGAGGAGUGUGCCUUUGGGGGUGAAGUCAAACUUUUGGAAGGUUGCAGUGCCUGCUGUGGCUGUAGAGACUGAAAUAGGAGAAACAUGUUUUGUUCCAGCUGGGGCAGAUGAAGGUGUCCGGUUGUGUGUAUCCUCUGGGAAAUGGCGUGUUCCCACUGCUUCUGAGUUACUGGCAAAAUAGGAUUGCAUAAGAUACUGGGCUUGCUGAAGAGCCACUGAUCCUGAGAUAAGAAAACACACACACACACACACACACACACACACACACACACACCAUAUAUUCCCUCAUUCUGUCCCCCUGACCAACAGAAACAGAUAUACCCUGCUUGGUUGCCACCUGCUUAUCCUGUACAUUUCUACCGAAAUAUUACACAAAAAUGCCAUGAAGUUUCCAUGUUCUCCACUGAUCAUGGAAACUUUAUGACAUUUUGUAAUCCCGAAGCUGCCGUAGAGCACUUCUGGUUCAUGGGGAACGCAAUUCAAUAUUGUUGGGUUCAGUACCCUUUGCAGGAUUAAAAGUCAAAACGCCAAUUCUCUUUCUUCUGGUUACACUUCUGUGUUUGCUUUCACCUAAGGAAUAGGUGCAUGGGGUUGUUUGAGGGUGGGGUUGGGUGAAUAUUUGUAGCCAGCCUAUCAAACCGGCUCCGAGUGGUCAAGAUGAAAGAGGGUUCGAAAACUAUUGCAAGCUUUACUAGCCUGACUCUUGGCAAGGCUCCAUGCAUUCUCGUUGUUCCCUGUUGAGCUUCAUCACCCACCUCCUCCCAUUCUUGUUCCAUCAAGCCUACAGCUGGCAACGAAUGAAAGCAAGCUAUAAACCCUUCCCAUCUCUUGCCUGUUCAAGCCCUGCAAGGGCCAACUGACUUUUCCUGCAACAGUUGAAAUAUCUCCUUUUCUAUGUGGAACAAAAUUUCCAGUCAGCCAGUGGCCGAUUUUGUUGUAGCAGGCUGCUGAGAAAAUCCAUAGUGAUACUGAGGCUGCACAUCUAAUAUACAUGCUUCCCUGAGAACAAGUCCCACUGAAUGCAAUGGGCAUUAUUUUUUAAAGCAGGAGAGAAAAAACUUGCUUGUUUACCACCUGCUCACACUGUUCAUUUCUGCAUGGAUAUUACUUGGGCCUUCUGUAUGCAAAACAGAUGCCUUACAAUUGAGUACAAUUUAUCAAGAGCUCUGGCCUCUGCAGAUAAGAGGGCUGCAGUUGGCCUUUUUUUCAGUCCCCAGACAUACAAGGGAAGGCAAUGUGCUCAGAUGCUGGACUGGAAGCUGUUUUCUUGUGCAGAGAAACAGCAUAAAGCUCUCUUUGAUCAGGAAGCACAGCAAAGCUUUAGGGCAGAAACAAAACAUAGCGGGCGCUGAAUAUUCCAGGACCAUCAGAAGCUGAACAGACCACAAACCCCAUUUGUGACUAUUGCACUUUUAAGUUAUUUUAGACUCUGGAAUUAAUGGUCUUAUAGGGAGAUUCUCCUUUAGGCUGCAAUGAGCCAACUUCAGUAUACACCACCCUGGCUAAAUUGGGAGCCCCUCCAGCUCAUUCUGCUGAGUGGGGCCCUGGACACGUGCC